rnacentral:sRNA from 1 species
AUGGAGCUUCGCGGGGUUGCUGGGCUGACGGAUCCGCGGGCCGGCAUCUGAAGCGAGCGGGACGCAGCGCGGCCAGGGCCUCCGGGCAUACGCAGGCUGGUCCCCAAGGCCCGCGGUCGCCGCCAUGUCGGUGCUGGGCGAGUACGAGCGACACUGCGAUUCCAUCAACUCGGACUUUGGGAGCGAGUCCGGGGGUUGCGGGGACUCGAGUCCGGGGCCUAGCGCCAGUCAGGGGCCGCGAGCCGGCGGCGGCGCGGCGGAGCAGGAGGAGCUGCACUACAUCCCCAUCCGCGUCCUGGGUCGCGGCGCCUUCGGGGAAGCCACGCUGUACCGCCGCACCGAGGAUGACUCACUGGUUGUGUGGAAGGAAGUCGAUUUGACCCGGCUGUCUGAGAAGGAACGUCGUGAUGCCUUGAAUGAGAUUGUUAUUCUGGCACUGCUGCAGCACGACAACAUUAUUGCCUACUACAAUCACUUCAUGGACAAUACCACCCUGCUGAUUGAGCUGGAAUAUUGUAAUGGAGGGAACCUGUAUGACAAAAUCCUUCGUCAGAAGGACAAGUUGUUUGAGGAAGAGAUGGUGGUGUGGUACCUAUUUCAGAUUGUUUCAGCAGUGAGCUGCAUCCAUAAAGCUGGAAUCCUUCAUAGAGAUAUAAAGACAUUAAAUAUUUUUCUGACCAAGGCAAACCUGAUAAAACUUGGAGAUUAUGGCCUAGCGAAGAAACUUAAUUCUGAGUAUUCCAUGGCUGAGACGCUUGUGGGAACCCCAUAUUACAUGUCUCCAGAGCUCUGUCAAGGAGUAAAGUACAAUUUCAAGUCUGAUAUCUGGGCAGUAGGCUGCGUCAUUUUUGAACUGCUUACCUUAAAGAGGACGUUUGAUGCUACGAACCCACUUAACCUGUGUGUGAAGAUUGUGCAAGGAAUUCGGGCCAUGGAAGUUGACUCUAGCCAGUACUCUUUGGAAUUGAUCCAAAUGGUUCAUUCGUGCCUUGACCAGGAUCCUGAGCAGAGACCUACUGCAGAUGAACUUCUAGAUCGCCCUCUUCUCAGGAAACGCAGGAGAGAGAUGGAGGAAAAAGUCACUCUGCUUAAUGCACCUACAAAGAGACCAAGGUCAAGCACUGUGACUGAAGCACCCAUUGCUGUAGUAACAUCACGAACCAGUGAAGUCUAUGUUUGGGGUGGUGGAAAAUCCACCCCCCAGAAACUGGAUGUUAUCAAGAGUGGCUGUAGUGCCCGGCAGGUCUGUGCAGGGAAUACCCACUUUGCUGUGGUCACAGUGGAGAAGGAACUGUACACUUGGGUGAACAUGCAAGGAGGCACUAAACUCCAUGGUCAGCUGGGCCAUGGAGACAAAGCCUCCUAUCGACAGCCAAAGCAUGUGGAGAAGUUGCAAGGCAAAGCUAUCCAUCAGGUGUCAUGCGGUGAUGAUUUCACUGUCUGUGUGACUGAUGAGGGUCAGCUCUAUGCCUUCGGAUCAGAUUAUUAUGGCUGCAUGGGGGUGGACAAAGUUGCUGGCCCUGAAGUGCUAGAACCCAUGCAGCUGAACUUCUUCCUCAGCAGUCCAGUGGAGCAGGUCUCCUGUGGAGAUAAUCAUGUGGUGGUUCUGACACGAAACAAGGAAGUCUAUUCUUGGGGCUGUGGCGAAUAUGGUAGGGGUAGCCUUGUCUCUGUCCACUUCUUCACAGGUAUACAACCUGACUUCAAAGUUGUAUGCAUCUAAACACAUCAUGCAGCCCCUAAAUGAGAAGUGUUAAUUCAGUAAAUCUUUUUUUUUUUUUUUUCUCUCGAGACAGAGUCUCUCUCUGUCACCCAGGCUGGAGUGCAAUGGCACGAUCUGGGCUCAUUGCAACCACCACCUCCCGAGUUCGAGCGAUUCUCCUGCCUCAGCCUCCCGAGUAGCUGGGAUUACAGGCGCACGCCAUCACACCCAGCUAAUUUUUUGUAUUUUUAGUAGAGAUGGGGUUUCACCACAUUGGCCAGGCUUGUCUCGAACUUCUGACCUCAUGAUCCGCCUGCCUCGGCCUCCCAAAGUGCUGGGAUUACAGGUGUGAGCCACCGCACCUGGCAAAAGAGAAUCUUACAGAACCUAUUCACUGGGAAGGAAGCCCUCAUUUUAAUGAUUUUCAUUCUUAUGUGUGUUUCAGGACGACUGGGUUUGGAUUCAGAAGAGGAUUAUUAUACACCACAAAAGGUGGAUGUUCCCAAGGCCUUGAUUAUUGUUGCAGUUCAAUGUGGCUGUGAUGGGACAUUUCUGUUGACCCAGUCAGGCAAAGUGCUGGCCUGUGGACUCAAUGAAUUCAAUAAGCUGGGUCUGAAUCAGUGCAUGUCGGGAAUUAUCAACCAUGAAGCAUACCAUGAAGUUCCCUACACAACGUCCUUUACCUUGGCCAAACAGUUGUCCUUUUAUAAGAUCCGUACCAUUGCCCCAGGCAAGACUCACACAGCUGCUAUUGAUGAGCGAGGCCGGCUUCUGACCUUUGGCUGCAACAAGUGCGGGCAGCUGGGCGUUGGGAACUACAAGAAGCGUCUGGGAAUCAACCUGUUGGGGGGACCCCUAGGUGGGAAGCAAGUGAUCAGGGUCUCCUGCGGUGAUGAGUUUACCAUUGCUGCCACUGAUGAUAAUCACAUUUUUGCCUGGGGCAAUGGUGGUAAUGGCCGCCUGGCAAUGACCCCCACAGAGAGACCACAUGGCUCUGAUAUCUGUACCUCAUGGCCUCGGCCUAUUUUUGGAUCUCUGCAUCAUGUCCCGGACCUGUCUUGCCGUGGAUGGCAUACCAUUCUCAUUGUUGUGUUUCAGAGCUCUAGCCCAGGAGGAGGCGGCGGGGGCGGCGGUGGUGAAGAAGAGGACAGUCAGCAGGAAUCUGAAACUCCUGACCCAAGUGGAGGCUUCCGAGGAACAAUGGAAGCAGACCGAGGAAUGGAAGGUUUAAUCAGUCCCACAGAGGCCAUGGGGAACAGUAAUGGGGCCAGCAGCUCCUGUCCUGGCUGGCUUCGAAAGGAGCUGGAAAAUGCAGAAUUUAUCCCCAUGCCUGACAGCCCAUCUCCUCUCAGUGCAGCGUUUUCAGAAUCUGAGAAAGAUACCCUGCCCUAUGAAGAGCUGCAAGGACUCAAAGUGGCCUCUGAAGCUCCUUUGGAACACAAACCCCAAGUAGAAGCCUCGUCACCUCGGCUGAAUCCUGCAGUAACCUGUGCUGGGAAGGGAACACCACUGACUCCUCCUGUGUGUGCGUGCAGCUCUCUGCAGGUGGAGGUUGAGAGAUUGCAGGGUCUGGUGUUAAAGUGUCUGGCUGAACAACAGAAGCUACAGCAAGAAAACCUCCAGAUUUUUACCCAACUGCAGAAGUUGAACAAGAAAUUAGAAGGAGGGCAGCAGGUGAGAGCAUUAAAAGAAUAAUCCAAUUUCUAAGCCUGUUUUGAAGAAUCACAGAAACAAAACACCAAGUACUGAAAUAGACUUGUUCCUUUGCAGGUCCUUACUUUUUUUUUGAGACGGAGUCUCACUCUGUUGCCAGGCCAGAGUGCAGUGGUGCUAUCUUGGCUUACUGCAACCUCUGCCUCCCGGAUUCAAGCAAUUCUCCUGCCUCAGCCUCCCGAGUAGCUGGGACUACAGGUGUGCACCACCAUGCCCGGCUAAUUUUGGUAUUUUUAGUAGAGACAGGGUUUCACCAUGUUGGCCAGGAUGGUCUCGAUCACUUGACCUCGUGAUCCACCCGCCUCAGCCUCCCAAAGUGCUGGGAUUACAGGCGUGAGCCACCGCGCCUGGCCGAUCCUUAGUUUUUAAUGAUACCAUUUUUGUAAUUAUAAUCCCAGAAGCCUUGGGCCUUGUUCAGGCACCUAGAUUGAAUCAUUUUCAUCACUUGCAUUGCUUUUUCUUAGUGUAUGUUUUUUCUUUUACAAUACUUAAUUACAUACCUCUGAAAAUACAGACAUUCUCCUGAACAACCACAAUACUAUAACCACACCU